CCAGCCCCAGCCCCAGCCCCAACUCCGGUCGCGCGGCGCUGCCUGACCACGGGCCCUGGCCCCAACUCCGGUCACGUGGCUCCGGCCCGGGAAAGAGAGGCCACAUGACAAGAGACUAUAAAAGACUGCUGCAGCUCCUCCAUCUUGUCUUCAGUCCUGCUUCAGACCUCUGGAGGGACUUUGCUACAAGCUGAAGCUUUGAACAAAGGACUGAAUGACCCAUCCCAGCUGUGGAUGUACUCCAGAGACUUGAUUUGAACCUUGAUUCCAUCACUGCUACAAGCCUGAACCAAGAACUUUGCCAUUACUGUAUGUACUUGAUUCCAUUUAACCAAUUCUAGCUCUCAACUAUAUCUUUUUCCUUUUAUGAAUAAACCUUUAGAUUUAAGAUUCUAAAGGAUUGGCAACAGCUUGAUUUGUGGGUAAGAUCUGAUUUGUAUAUUGACCUGGGUCUGGGGCUUGGUCCUUUGGGAUCGGGAGAACCUUUUUUCUUUUAUUAGGGCAUUGGUUUUCAUAACCAUUUGUCCCCAUAACGAGUGGCACUGGUGGUGAUAUUGGGAAACUGGAGUGUCUAAAGGAAUUGCUUGUGUGACUUGUGGUUAGCCAGUGGGGUAAAACCAAAGUCCUCUCUAUCUGGCUGGUUUGGUUUGCCUUAGGGGUGGAAAAUCCCAGCCUUAGGCUGUAACUGCCCCGCUUUAAGCAAUUUGUCCUGAAUUGGCAUUCUCAGUUGGGUCCCACCGGAACCAGCAUUGUUACAGGUGGGAAGCCUAAAGAAAAGGCUCCUAAGGGGUGUAUUGGAAACUGCUUUGGGUGGAACUGGAUUAGGAGUUGGAAUACUGGAUGCUACUAACAUAGAGGUAUUGGCAAACAAACUGAGUUAUGUUACAGCUGAAAUACAAGAAUCUGGAAAUCCCAUCAGUGCAUCCUUAUCAAAAUGAGGAAUGGGGCAACACUAAGUAGGCCAGUAUGGCAACAGCAAGGUGAACAGGAUUUAUUACUUUUAGCAGGGGCUAUGGGAACUGUGAUAAAUGAAGGUGGGGGGAAGGGUAGGUCCUUUUUAUGGACACUCAGCCAGCCAAUAGCUAUAAAAUCCCACUUAGUAGCUGUUCUCUAAUUGCUCUACCUGUAAAGGGUUAAAAAGUCUCACUGCUAUGCAUAGGUAAAAGGAAGUGAGUGGGUACCUGGCCAAAAGAGCCAAUGGGAAGGCUAGAACUUUUUAAAAUUGAAACAAGACUCCCCUUUUGUCUGGCUGCUGUUGUUCUCGGGGAGAGGCAGACAGGGAGCAGUUAUGCUGUGAGAAACUUGGGCCAGGUAUGAAAAAUCAUCAGUAUCAUACUUAGAAACUAUUCAUCUAAAACCCCAGAUAUGUAAGUAGAUCAGGAAAUGUCUAGGAAGAUGUGAUUAGGUUUAUCCCUUUUAUUUCUUUAUAGCUUGUGGAUUCCUCUGUGCUAACCCCAGGUGCUUUUGUUUUGCUUGUAACCUUUAAGCUGGACCUCAAGAAGCUAUCUUGAUGCUUUUUCCUCCACACAAGGAUUAAGCAUCAAGAUAGCUUCAAACACCAGGCCUGGCCCACUGCCCUCACAGACACCUCAGGAGUACCAUCUGAUCUGUGGCCAUGGAGACAUACCUGGAGGUUUUCAGAAUGAAAAUGUGUACAGUCCCAAUGCUCCUUCCAAGCAUAUGGACCAGUUAAAGGGAUGUGGGCACCCACUUACCGAAUCCUGCCUGGUCCAUGGAAAGAAUGCAUCUGGGACUGGGUGAUUCACCAAAAUAUAUGAAAAAUAAAACCACCUGGUUUACCUAGCCAAUUUAUAGUCGGUGCCCCUAAAAUAACACCCAAUAUUUGAAUUAAAUUGAAAAAUCAAUGAACACUCUGGCCAUCGAAACCCCCACAGCUUCAAUGCAUGCGUAAACUUAAACCAAGGAAAAUAGUCACUGUUCAUAACAAUGUUUGCUGGGAGGGUAAGGGAUUGGAAACCCUCUUAACAGAAAAAAUAAUUUUCCAGGCCAAUAACAGCUGUGUGAUUGUCAAAGCCCAUAUCAUGCACAACACCCAUUUUACCCUCUCCAUGGUCGCCAGUAGCCAGAUCAUUUACUGGCCGGCGAAUAAAAAAUUUGCAAUCAACUCUCAGGUAUAAAAUGCCCUUUAACUGGACAACCCUGGUACCAGACUGUUUCCAAAAUUUGCUUUCAUUAAUAUCCGAGGUCCAAAAAAUUUCUAAUUUAUAGGGACAAAUUCAUGCCCUUAAAAAUAUGUAUCAAAUAGAAAAAGGUGCCUUUCAAACAGCCUAUCGACUGUCUUCCUUGUACACUAGUCGAGACAUGCUGUGUGCAGUAACCAAAAUUAUAUACAAACCACACCAUGUUGUUGCUAUAGGUAAAUUAACUAUUGUAUUGGGAUUGUUUGUUUUAAAAUUGUGUUUUUGCUAUUAUUGUUGCAAGGAAUAUUGCUGUACCUGUAAUUUUUCUGCUAAGCCUACUGCGAGGGAGCAGGUGGCCUUAAUGCUUGUUAAUGAGGUUUAUAAUAAAAGUUGGGAUGAGAUAAAAAAAAAGGAAAAGACAAAAAUUAAAGGGCUCAUGAAUGUAAAAGUUUAGGCCAAGGGUGGCGCUGGAAGCGCCAAAGGGGGGAAUUGUGGAAAAAAAAUAGUCUAAGGCCUAAACUUUGGUCAAGUGAACUGUAUGUAGGGUCAGGUGAACUGUAUGUGUGGCCUGAAGGAAGAAGAAAAGGGGGGGGGGGGGAAGAGUAAAAGGAGAAGGGUAAACAAAAAUCAUAAAAGCAAAACUAACUGUAGACAUUAUAAAAGCAGAAUUAACCUUUGUAACAAAUUAUAAUUAAUAGAUGUCAGGUGACAAAGCAAGAAACCACAAAGGGGCAGACUGUAAAAAACAGAAAAGCUUGCUAAGCUAUAUUCCCUUUUUUGGGGAAUGUAUUCCAAAUAUGGCAAUAAUGUUGAUAAGGAAGUAUGCAUUACUUAAUUGUGGUUUUAUGCUAUAUAAGCUAUUUAAAAAUCUGUAGUCGGGGGGAUUGCUAGUUUACUGGUACCCCCCAUGCAUGCAUGAAAAUAAAAAGGCCUCAGGCAAUUCUAAUUGCGUGGUCAUUUUUCCACAACACUUGUAAUUGUUUUUUUUUUUAAACUUAGCAAAAAGCCUAAGUUGCAGAUGUAUUUUCUUUCUUUUUGUUUUUAAUAAAAAUUACCUUUUUUAAGAAUAGGA